ensembl:lncRNA
AUCCAUAAAAUAAUUUUAACAUUAAAAAUGUGUAAAUCAUCCUUUUAGCAAUAAGACUACUGUUCCAGAUGGAACUGUAGCCCUAUUAAUACACAAAGAAUAAAGCAUAAUUUGUCUGAACAAAAUUUCAUAUAUUUAUAGUGUCAUAUAUAAAAAGAUAAAUAUGCACACACACACACACUGCUAGCUAGUGGGUGAAAAAAAAUCAUACAUCAAAAGUAACAUAAAAUAAAUAAAUAAAAAGAAAUGGGCCUACAGCGCUCCUUAUCAGGCAUCAUGAUAAGCACAGUUGUUAUUUAUUAAUAAGUUCUUUAUUAUGGCGAGUUUCCCCCGAAUCUUGACCCUGACUGACCCCUAUGAUGUCACUCGUCACCUGGUCAGUGUCUGUCAGUCAGUUACUCCGACGUCGAAGAUGUCUGACAAGAAACGAAAAUAUCUUUUUGGCCAUGAAAAACGACAAAAGAAGAGAAGCAAGAAGUUAAAGUAUCCAGGUAAUCCCCAGAAAGUCUCCAGUGGACUUUCCCAUUCAUUUCCCGGGACAGGGUGACAACAAGAGUGAUGAUAUUCCCUCUAAAACCCACUUUCAACAUGAGGAGGAAAAAGCGCCAUUACCCAUGACAUCUUUCAGUUUCCCCUCUGCUUCUCUCCCUCUGUUGGAGUCAGAGGGGAACUGAAACUGAAAAUAAGGCUGAUAGAAAGAAAUAGGGUAGAAAUGGAGAAGAGGAGAGAGAGGGGUGCGUAUGCUGCAGUACAUAAACAUGAGAGCAGCUGGUGAUCUCAGCUGGAGAUCUGCAACCCCAAUCACAGCACAGACUGUUCACUUCACUGUCUGCCAUCACUGACGGCCUUCCAGCUCACUAAACUCAACCGAUACCGCAGGUGUUUCAUAGCUGCUUUUAGACAUGUAAACACUCCUGUAGCCCUCGUGUUAAAUUACUUAUCUGUAACUCUAGUGUCAGUGUAGACAGCUUUGUUGACUGUAAUGUGAUGAGCUCUGUUGCAUCAUUAUGUCUUUAAAGGAAAUUUCUGGAUCGCUACAUUCAUAAAAAUGCAAAUGCAGUAAUGCAUUUACAAUGAAAGUCUAAGGGGAAAAGCACUGCACCUAAAUAACAUUAAAAUACCAGUUUCCUAAAGUAUGAGUGUGAUAAAUUUACUUACAAACCUUGCAAAGUUAAAUGCAUUGUUUCAGCUGAACAUGAACAUGUAAAGACAGUAGGUAACCUAGAUGUUACAGCAUCUGUGCAAACUUACCUGCAGUAAAUCAUGAUGUUUCCUCUCACUCUGAACCUGAUGAAUCAGCAGCUUCACUUUUGUGUAUUU